rnacentral:tRNA from 1 species
CCGCCCUUAGCUCAGCUGGAUAGAGCGUCCCCCUCCUAAGGGGAAGGUCUCAGGUUCGAAUCCUGAAGGGCGGACCA